rnacentral:rRNA from 2 species
AAGUCGUAACAAGGUUUCCGUAGGUGAACCUGCGGAAGGAUCAUUAUCAUGUAAUAUCCAGUCAUGCUGCUGCGUGAGCUGUAUAAACCCACCCUGCGUACGCUGUCCUGUUGCUUCCGCCGUGCGCGCAAGUGCGCACGGCGGAAGGUAAAAAAUAACCGCCGACUUCUAGUAGGUAAUCUGUCUGAAUGAAUAGGAACAAUGAAAAGUUAAAACUUUCAGCAACGGAUCUCUUGGUUCUCGCAUCGAUGAAGAACGCAGCGAAAUGCGAUAAGUAGUGUGAAUUGCAGAAUCUAGUGAAUCAUCGAAUCUUUGAACGCACAUUGCGCCUUCCGGCAUUCCGGGAGGCAUGCCUGUUCGAGAGUCAUUGACAACCGCUUCGAGCCCCCCUGCUCCCCGAGUUCUCGAGGGUUGUCGGGGUGGGAUUCGCUGCUGGCGGUGGAGGAAUGACUUGCCGAGCUUGCCCGCCCUGCUCGGCAAAUCUCCUCCCCGCUGAAAUUCGGCGAAGGGCUUUUUCAGAUAUCGGUGGUGGGAUUGAAGGCGAUAUAAAUGCUCCCCGGCCCCCCGGGCAGAUUUUGCCAAUCCCCUCAACUUCCAGAUGCUCGGCUCGCAGGCUGUCUGGUGUUCAUUAACCCACAUCACGAUGGAUGCCACACUAGCCGACUGAGUAGGAAGAACCGAGCGCCCAAGCUAUGUUAACU